rnacentral:lncRNA from 1 species
AGAACGUAAAUAGAAUUGCAGAUUAAAUUACCGAUUGUACCUUGUGAGUUUCGCUGUAGCUCCAUGUCUUUGCAGCGGCGAUAGUAGAUGCUAGUUCCAGACUCGACGGGAGAACGGGAAGCAAAAGGCACAGGGACACCAUGGGGGAAGAGAACCCGGGGCCAAAAAAACAAGCCCCGUGCGAUCUCCUCCCCCGGACACAAGAAUAUUUUUUUAUUACCGUGGCCUGCCAUGCGAGCGCACCCAACAUGGCAAAGGCCUCUCUCGAAGUCACAUCUUUUUCUCAUUUUUCUGCCCUCAACGCACGCCGACUCGACGCCGAAAUCUUACAUGCUUCAACCUUACCUCGCCUCUUCAAGGCGGCACGGCUCACAUCUCUUAGAUCUACUAAUAAUUAUCGAAAUUCAUCCAAUAAUUAU